rnacentral:tRNA from 1 species
GACCUCGUGGCGCAACGGUAGCGUGUUUGAUUCCAGAUCAGGAGGCUGUGUGUUCAAAUCACGUUGGGGUCA